CGAUGAACCACUUCGGUGGGGAUUAGUGGCGAACGGGUGAGUAACACGUGGGCAAUCUGCCCUUCACUCUGGGACAAGCCCUGGAAACGGGGUCUAAUACCGGAUAACACUGCGGAUCGCAUGGUCUGCGGUUAAAAGCUCCGGCGGUGAAGGAUGAGCCCGCGGCCUAUCAGCUUGUUGGUGAGGUAAUGGCUCACCAAGGCGACGACGGGUAGCCGGCCUGAGAGGGCGACCGGCCACACUGGGACUGAGACACGGCCCAGACUCCUACGGGAGGCAGCAGUGGGGAAUAUUGCACAAUGGGCGAAAGCCUGAUGCAGCGACGCCGCGUGAGGGAUGACGGCCUUCGGGUUGUAAACCUCUUUCAGCAGGGAAGAAGCGAAAGUGACGGUACCUGCAGAAGAAGCGCCGGCUAACUACGUGCCAGCAGCCGCGGUAAUACGUAGGGCGCAAGCGUUGUCCGGAAUUAUUGGGCGUAAAGAGCUCGUAGGCGGCUUGUCACGUCGAUUGUGAAAGCCCGAGGCUUAACCUCGGGUCUGCAGUCGAUACGGGCUAGCUAGAGUGUGGUAGGGGAGAUCGGAAUUCCUGGUGUAGCGGUGAAAUGCGCAGAUAUCAGGAGGAACACCGGUGGCGAAGGCGGAUCUCUGGGCCAUUACUGACGCUGAGGAGCGAAAGCGUGGGGAGCGAACAGGAUUAGAUACCCUGGUAGUCCACGCCGUAAACGGUGGGCACUAGGUGUUGGCGACAUUCCACGUCGUCGGUGCCGCAGCUAACGCAUUAAGUGCCCCGCC
rnacentral:rRNA from 1 species